ACACGCAGUUCUCACCUGGUUUCCCCACUGAUGAUAAGCAGGGUUGAGUCUGGUCAGUACCUGGAUGGGAGACCUGGAGAAAACUAAGGUUGCUGCUGGAA
rnacentral:rRNA from 1 species